AACGAACGCUGGCGGCAUGCCUAACACAUGCAAGUCGAACGAGACCUUCGGGUCUAGUGGCGCACGGGUGCGUAACGCGUGGGAACCUGCCCUUAGGUUCGGAAUAACUCCCCGAAAGGGGUGCUAAUACCGGAUAAUGUCUUCGGACCAAAGAUUUAUCGCCGUUGGAUGGGCCCGCGUUGGAUUAGCUAGUUGGUAGGGUAAAAGCCUACCAAGGCGACGAUCCAUAGCUGGUCUGAGAGGAUGAUCAGCCACACUGGGACUGAGACACGGCCCAGACUCCUACGGGAGGCAGCAGUGGGGAAUAUUGGACAAUGGGCGAAAGCCUGAUCCAGCAAUGCCGCGUGAGUGAUGAAGGCCUUAGGGUUGUAAAGCUCUUUUACCCGGGAUGAUAAUGACAGUACCGGGAGAAUAAGCACCGGCUAACUCCGUG
rnacentral:rRNA from 1 species